rnacentral:hammerhead_ribozyme from 1 species
AUUCAGCUGACGUGUCCCAAACAGGAAGAAAUGCUUGUCCUGGAU